CCGCCUGCCUCGGCCCCCCAAAGUGCUGGGAUUACAGACGUGACCUACCAUGCCCAGCCCACCAACCUUCUUCCUUAGGAUUUUAGCUGCCAUUGAUGUUGCAAAAGUCACUUUUAAAGACUUCUUAAAAUUCCACAUCUGUUAAUUGAAAUUCUAUUAAGAAGAGCUUCCUUAUGAUUAUUUGGUUACCCUGAAACACAGUUUCAACCAAAAAAAGGAGAAAUGCUCGUUUUGUUUGUUUUUUAUUCCUCUUGAUUACCAGCUUUGAGGAUGAGUUGGUGCCAGCAUUCUCCAGAGGUGACCCAGGAAUAAGCUUUUACAUUUUUGGUAUGAGCUCACAAGUCUUAUACACUUGAUGUGUUGAGAGCAUGUGGUCGUCAUUUUGAUGCCUCAAGUCUCUUGUUUUUGGUCAGUGUGAGCCACCACUCCUGGCCCCAAAAACCCAAUU
rnacentral:lncRNA from 10 species